rnacentral:misc_RNA from 1 species
GAUGAAGAACGUAGCGAAAUGCGAUAAGUAAUGUGAAUUGCAGAACUCAGUGAAUCAUCGAAUCUUUGAACGCACAUUGCGCCCGCCAGUAUUCUGGCGGGCAUGCCUGUUCGAGCGUCAUUUCAACCAUCAAGCCCCCGGCUUGUGUUGGGGACCUGCGGCUGCCGCAGGCCCUGAAAAGCAGUGGCGGGCUCGCUGUCACACCGAGCGUAGUAGCAUACAUCUCGCUCUGGGCGUGCUGCGGGUUCCGGCCGUUAAACCACCUUCAUAACCCAAGGUUGACCUCGGAUCAGGUAGGAAGACCCGCUGAACUUAAGCAUAUCAAUAAGCGGAGGA